rnacentral:rRNA from 1 species
AACGGUGAAGCUCCAGCUUGCUGGAGUGGAUCAGUGGCGAACGGGUGAGUAACACGUGAGCAACCUGCCCCUGACUCUGGAAUAAGCGCUGGAAACGGCGUCUAAUACUGGAUAUGAGAAGGGUCCGCAUGGACACUUUCUGGAAAGUUUUUCGGUUGGGGAUGGGCUCGCGGCCUAUCAGCUUGUUGGUGAGGUAAUGGCUCACCAAGGCGACGACGGGUAGCCGGCCUGAGAGGGCGACCGGCCACACUGGGACUGAGACACGGCCCAGACUCCUACGGGAGGCAGCAGUGGGGAAUAUUGCACAAUGGGCGAAAGCCUGAUGCAGCGACGCCGCGUGAGGGAUGACGGCCUUCGGGUUGUAAACCUCUUUCAGCAGGGAAGAAGCGAAAGUGACGGUACCUGCAGAAGAAGCACCGGCUAACUACGUGCCAGCAGCCGCGGUAAUACGUAGGGUGCGAGCGUUGUCCGGAAUUAUUGGGCGUAAAGAGCUUGUAGGCGGUUUGUCGCGUCUGCUGUGAAAAUCCGGGGCUCAACCCCGGACUUGCAGUGGGUACGGGCAGACUAGAGUGUGGUAGGGGAGACUGGAAUUCCUGGUGUAGCGGUGAAAUGCGCAGAUAUCAGGAGGAACACCGAUGGCGAAGGCAGGUCUCUGGGCCACUACUGACGCUGAGAAGCGAAAGCAUGGGGAGCGAACAGGAUUAGAUACCCUGGUAGUCCAUGCCGUAAACGUUGGGCGCUAGGUGUGGGACUCAUUCCACGAGUUCCGUGCCGCAGCUAACGCAUUAAGCGCCCCGCCUGGGG